CGCUCAUGUUUCUCUUCAUCUCGUAUAAAUCUUUCGCCUUUUACUAAAGAUUUCCGUGGGGAGGAACAUUAUGAGUUUUAUCGAAUUUUUUGUUGCCCUGUUUAACGACGGGGCU